UGGGGAAUCUUGGACAAUGGGCGCAAGCCUGAUCCAGCCAUGCCGCGUGAGUGAAGAAGGCCUUCGGGUUGUAAAGCUCUUUUUACCAGGGACGAUAAUGACGGUACCUGGAGAAUAAGCCCCGGCAAACUUCGUGCCAGCAGCCGCGGUAAUACGAAGGGGGCUAGCGUUGUUCGGAAUUACUGGGCGUAAAGCGCACGUAGGCGGAUUGUUAAGUCAGAGGUGAAAUCCCGGAGCUCAACUUCGGAACUGCCUUUGAUACUGGCAAUCUAGAGUCCGGAAGAGGUUAGUGGAAUUCCCAGUGUAGAGGUGAAAUUCGUAGAUAUUGGGAAGAACACCAGUGGCGAAGGCGGCUAACUGGUCCGGUACUGACGCUGAGGUGCGAAGGCGUGGGGAGCAAACAGGAUUAGAUACCCACGUAGUCCCUGAGCGGGCUGGCAAGGCGCAU
rnacentral:rRNA from 1 species